UACGUAGGUGACAAGCGUUGUCCGGAUUUACUGGGCGUAAAGAGCGCGCAGGCGGUCGAUCAAGUCGAGUGUGAAAGCCCCCGGCUCAACUGGGGAGGGUCAUUCGAAACUGGUCGACUCGAAGGCAGGAGAGGGUAGUGGGAAUUCCCGGUGUAGUGGUGAAAUGCGUAGAUAUCGGGAGGAACACCAGUGGCGAAGGCGGCUUCCUGGCCUGUUCUUGACGCUGAGGCGCGAAAGCUAGGGGAGCAAACGGGG
rnacentral:rRNA from 1 species